AUUGAACGCUGGCGGCAGGCCUAACACAUGCAAGUCGAGCGGCAGCGGGAAAGUAGCUUGCUACUUUUGCCGGCGAGCGGCGGACGGGUGAGUAAUGCCUGGGAAAUUGCCCAGUCGAGGGGGAUAACAGUUGGAAACGACUGCUAAUACCGCAUACGCCCUACGGGGGAAAGCAGGGGACCUUCGGGCCUUGCGCGAUUGGAUAUGCCCAGGUGGGAUUAGCUAGUUGGUGAGGUAAUGGCUCACCAAGGCGACGAUCCCUAGCUGGUCGGGGAGGGUGAUCAGACACACUGGAACUGAGACACGGUCCAGAAUCCUACGGGAGGCAGCAGGGGGGAAUAUUGCACAAUGGGGGAAACCCUGAUGCAGCCAUGCCGCGUGUGUGAAGAAGGCCUUCGGGUUGUAAAGCACUUUCAGCGAGGAGGAAAGGUUGAUGCCUAAUACGUAUCAACUGUGACGUUACUCGCAGAAGAAGCACCGGCUAACUCCGUGCCAGCCGCCGCCGCAGUAA
rnacentral:rRNA from 1 species